rnacentral:rRNA from 1 species
CCUACGGGAGGCUGCAGUGGGGGAUAUUGCACAAUGGGGGGAACCCUGAUGCAGCGACGCCGCGUGGGUGAAGAAGCGCCUCGGCGCGUAAAGCCCUGUCAGCAGGGAAGAAAAUGACGGUACCUGAAGAAGAAGCCCCGGCGAACUACGUGCAAGCAGCCGCGGUAAUACGUAGGGGGCAAGCGUUAUCCGGAUUUACUGGGUGUAAAGGGGGCGCAGACGGCGAUGCAAGCCAGGAGUGAAAGCCGGGGGCCCAACCCCGGGACUGCUGUUGGAACUGCGUGGCUGGAGUGCAGGAGAGGCAGGCGGAAUGCGUGGUGUAGCGGUGAAAUGCGUAGAUAUCAGGAAGAACACCGGUGGCGAAGGCGGCCUGCUGGACUGCAACUGACGUUGAGGCCCGAAAGCGUGGGGAGCAAACAGGAUUAGAUACCCUAGUAGUC